rnacentral:rRNA from 1 species
UACGUAGGGUGCGAGCGUUAAUCGGAAUUACUGGGCGUAAAGCGUGCGUAGGCGGUUUUGUAAGUCAGAUGUGAAAUCCCCGGGCUUAACCUGGGAACUGCGUUUGAAACUACAAGGCUAGAGUGUGGCAGAGGGGGGUGGAAUUCCACGUGUAGCAGUGAAAUGCGUAGAGAUGUGGAGGAACACCGAUGGCGAAGGCAGCCCCCUGGGUUAACACUGACGCUCAGGCACGAAAGCGUGGGGAGCAAACAGG